AGCACCUAAAAGCGUUUUCUUGCCAGCCCAUUAAGUGCUCUUGAAAAUCGUUGAUGUGUGCAAGAGCAAUGCUCAGUUGCAAGUGUUUCUGUUUUUUGCAUAACUGAAUUCCAUAUAGCUGACUAUAUUU